UUUCAGUGGUGCCUUAACUACCCAUCAAUUGUCUGGUCCUUUUAUCCCCUCAUGUGCCCCUCCCUCCAUCCUCCUGAUACCCAUUUUAUUCACACGUGCUCUCGGUAAAGAGGCAUCGAGCACCCGCUGCUUGCUGUUAGGGUACAAAGGGGAAUGAGACACCCCAGGUCUUUGCCCUGAUGGAGCUCAGGGCGGAGAGACAUGGGAGACACUCUGGGUUAACCUCCCACAGGUGGUGAACAGUUACAGACUGUGAUGAAGGAGAAGGAGCCAGCAGGGUGAGUAACACCCAGUGGGUGUGGAGGCUUCCUCAAAGAACUGGGGAGGUGGCUGGCUCAGGAAUUCCAGCAGGAGAGGAGGGUGGCCUGGACCACCACCGUCCAUGGAGGAUGCAGAAUAUGCCCGGCUUGGGCCCGGGCCCCGCCCAUGGGAACAGAGUGGGAGUGCCGGAGAACAACUUGGCCUUGACUCAAUCUGGAUGACCCAUGCACUCCAGGCUUGGACCCAGACCUGGACAGAAGCCAUCCCACCCAGGGAACCAAACCAGGACGGGGAGACAGAGUUGUUCCUGUGUAUUUUUCUCUUACCCACGUAAACAGAGAAGAACAGAGAAUGCUGCUCAUACCCAGUUCUGCCAGGACUAACCUGCUGCUCACCAACAGUGCACUCCGUGCUUCAGGCAGAGGAAAUGAAGAUGAUAACAGGAUGCUCUGUGCUUUGGACAAGAAGUCCCCUGAGGGAGUUAGAUGUAUAUCUUGGGAAGAAUUUUAAUGACCCCAGAGUCUUGCAUCUCCCUAAAUAUAGAAAAGCACUAAAAUCAUUAACUUGAGUUAUCUGAUCUUUGUGACUAUCAGUAGUCUUUUAUCAAGAUGUAUGUUUCACUGCAUGUAUUCCCUACCUAAAAAUCACGUAUAAACUGGCUUCUCCCCCUUCCUCCUCAGAACAGUCCCCUCAGAGCUACUGAGAGGCUCUCUCCUGGCUCUAGUCCUCAGUAAGUUCCCUGAAUAAAACUUAACACACAGCUCUCA
rnacentral:lncRNA from 1 species